GCCACCUUAGCUCAGUUGGUAGAGCGGUGCUUUCGUAAAGCAUAGGUCCGCGGUUCGAGUCCGCGAGGUGGCUCAA
rnacentral:tRNA from 1 species